UAUAUAUAUAUAUAUAUAUAUAUAAAUUGGAGUACUCAGAAAAAGUGUACCUUGGUUAAAUGUUUCUAAAAUCUCACAGAAAUGGUAGGUGUGUGAGUCCUUAUAUCAUAAGAUCUGAUUGCAGUGAUUUGGUGGAGCUUCUGUUUUUCCUUCUGCAUAAAAUGCACAAGGGGCAAACAAUAACUUAUUAACUAAAAGUGGAUAUAGAACUAAUUACAUUGACAUUAAUACCGCAGUAUAACUGAGAAACAUUAAUUGCUUUAUAACACUGUAUCUUGCGAUGAUGCAAUUCCCAAAAUAAUGAUAACCUUCACGUUGCUAAGAAACAAUAUUCAUACUAUAUCAUUAUAUGAUCAAUAUAAAAGUCUUGGUUUUAUGAUUAAACAAGAAGCCUAAUCCUAGCUAGGGAAUAAUUAAGCCCUUGAAUUUAUGGAUAGCUUUAAUCAACCUAUGACUCUAGGAUGCUCUUGGUUAUUAACAGAAGGUAUGUAUUUCAUGCAUGGAUAUGUAUGAAGAACAAAGGUGUUGAAUCCCAAAUCUUCCUUGGAAAAUGAAAUAGGAUUACAAAAAUCACCUUCAUAUUGUUACCUUAUGACCAAAAUACUAAUAUAUGUUUGUGUCUUUCUUUCUUAAUAUCGUUUUAUUUCCUUAUCUAACUAUGUCUGCAAGAUCAUAAGCAAGGAUGACAGGAGAAUAUAAUAAAAUAUAGAUCAAAGAAAAGAAUGAAGAGUUUGAUGUUUUAUUUGCCUAGUUUUAUCCUGGGUAACUUUAACCGAUUUCUUGUUGGUUUUCGAAGCAUUUGAAAUGAAGUAGAUCAUCCCAAAAAGGUUUCAUUUCUAGUCUCUUUCAGUCUUUAAAUUCCAGCAGUGACAAGGAUUCUUCCAAGGCUUUUGAUGGUUCAUGGAAAUUGACUUUACCCCAAAGGAUCUGAGAUACUGCUAUAUAUAUUUUAAUAGAAAAGCAUCACAUUCAAGUCUGUGUAGCCAAAAGAAAGGUCCUGCUCCUAUAUAUGUCUAGUCUCGCUUACUGUUGAUCUUACUGUCCUAUGUGUUGCUUUUGCUUUCCCAUUUCUCACCGUGUGAGAACACCACAUUCCAUUUGAUAUCUCCUUUUUAUGCCUUGAACAGUGUAUUUUGCAUUCAAUGCCACUCUAAUAUUUUCAAACAUGUAUACACAACUGCUUUCUAUGAGUCUAUUACUCCAAAUAAACUUCGACAAAAUAUACAAAUAGUAAAAUGAAAAGGUCUUGCAUUUGUAAACCUAAAGCAAAGUGCAUCAAUCUGCCCCAUCAGUUAUACAAACACACAACACAACUUUCUUUACCCAGUUUAUAUUAAUUCACACGAUAAUUUCUAAGCGUAUCAAGUUUUUUUUUUCCUUCAAAUACAUGAUGCUACACAUCUCGAAUGAAUCAAAAUGAUUUUGCGUUUUCUUAUUCUGGCAUAUGUUUUAUAUCUGUCAUAUAAUAUGAAGUUUCAAGCACACAAAAUCAGAAAGAGAAGAAGCUAAAGCUAAUAAUUUGUCACCUGGGUCGUCAAAGUAAAGCUCUUUGAUUCACUGUCCAAAAGUCUUAGCUGUAAUGUAAUUAUUACAAUAUCUGUGACAAAUCCAAAAAAAUGUAUAUAAUUAGUAACGAGUAAGUUUGAUUUUCAACUGUCGACAGUAGCAAAACUGUUACAAAGACUGAUUAAGCAUCACAUGAGGAAUCUUAAUCCAUAAAAGUCUAAAGGCUGUAUCUGUUAAAUUAAGAUAAGAAUCAUAGAUCAAAGGCAAAACAUUGAAUAAGCAUCAGAAUCAGGCUACUUACUCUUUAAGGCAUGAGUAAAUGGGGUCAAACACCCCCCAAUUUUUCAUUUUCCCAAUAUCACGUUUGUGUGCAGUGCUAAUCCAGACAAGAAGGCGGCUGAUGAAUAGGAGAAGUUACAAAAGCAUAUCAGCAGAAAAUACAAAUAAUAAUAAAUAAAAAAGGUGCUAGUAAGUAACAAUGUGGAGGGAUAUAGAGGUAAAAAAAUGGAGGGAGGAGGGUUAGUACUCAUGAUAAAUAUAAUGAAUAAAUUAUUUAUGGUAACUACAGCAUAUUAAGUGGAAAAAGGUAAUCAAAUUAGAUGAAUGGAGGAGGAAUAAGAUCAGAAAAAAUUACCCUUUUACAGCUGUACAACUUUCUGCCCUUUAUCUGCAAAGCUAAAAUGCCUAACUAAGCAGCAGGAGCAGAAGCAGCAGUGUGUUGAACGACAUCAACCCAACAAGGCUAACAGAAACAUUAGAGGAAAGAAGAAAGCAACAAGCUUUUCUGUGUAUCAUUAAAUGCAGUAAACGGAAAGAGAGAGAGAGAACAGUGUUGAAGCAAUAUUAAAAUAGAAAUAGCAAAUGACAUAUAUAUAUAUAUAUACUAUAAUAAUAUUAAUA
rnacentral:lncRNA from 1 species